GAAAGCCUGACGUAGCGACACCGCGUGAGCGAAGAAGCCCUUUGGGGUGUAAAGCUCUGUCAGCUGGAACGAAACAAAUGACGGUACCAGCAGAGGAAGCAUCGGCUAACUACGUGCCAGCAGCCGCGGUAAGACGUAGGAUGCAAGCGUUGUCCGGAUUUAUUGGGCGUAAAGAGUUCGUAGGCGGUUUGGUAAGUCUGAUGUUAAAGACCGAGGCUCAACUUCGGGACCGCAUUGGAUACUGCCAGACUGGAGUGUGGUAGAGGCUAGUGGAAUUCCUAGUGUAGCGGUGAAAUGCGUAGAUAUUAGGAAGAACACCAGUGGCGUAGGCGACUAGCUGGGCCAUAACUGACGCUGAGGAACGAAAGCCAG
rnacentral:rRNA from 1 species